GCUGGGUGCCGUGGUGCGCAUCUGUAAUCCCAGCGGCUCAGGAGGCUGAGGCAGGAGGAUCCCAAGUUCAAAGCCAGCCUCAGCAGUGGUGAAGCACUAAGCAACUCAGUGAGACCCUGUCUCUA
rnacentral:sRNA from 1 species